UAUAUAUAUAAUUUUAUUUCUAAAUAUAUAUUUAGUUAAUAUAUAUAGUAUUAUAUUUUUAUAAUAUGGAUAUAUUAUUAUAUAAUAAUUUAUUAUAUAAUAUACUACUUUAUAGAGGAUUUUAAAUUUCUGAAUAAUAUUGUAAAAUGUGCACUCCUAAUAGAGUGUGCCAAUAGUAUUAUUCAAAAAUUAUAAUAGUGGAAACUGAAAAAAUUCAUGUUAGAAACGAAAGGUGCAGCUUUAUUCAAAAUAAAAAUAAUUUUUCUUAAAAUAUGCUAUAUCAGUUUGUGCUAGUGUUAAAUCCUACUUCCAAACCAAAUCAAAACCAAAUAAAAUAAAUUUGUUCAAUCUAUAUGCUACCUACGAAAUCGAAUUUAUUGUCGUUUGGUCCUCAGUUUGCAUCCAAACUUGAACACACCAACUUUUUUCCCCUUUUCCCCCUCUUUUUUAAUUCUUUUUGUUUUGUUCAGAAUAAUCUUAGAUCACAUUCAAAAAAUAAAAAAUUUAAUUUAAAAUUUAAAAUUUAAUUUUAAAUUAAAAAUUAAAUUUUAAAGCGAAUAUCCUUUGAUAUUACUGACUUUACAAUUUAUGUGCUAUUUACUAUAUAAUUUAAAAUUUUUAAAAAUUUACAUAGAUUUCCCGCUGCGUAGCGCGGGCCUUUACUAGUAUCAUUAAAGGGUGAACCCUUAACCCUUUUGCUGCGUUCUCCGUGAUUUCGGGUCUCUCCCUUAACCCCUUUCCUGCGUUCUCCGCGAUUUCGGACCUCCCGCAC
rnacentral:lncRNA from 1 species